ensembl:snRNA U6 U6 spliceosomal RNA
GUGCUCGCUUCGGCAGCACAUAUACUAAAACUGGAACGAUACAGAGAAGAUUAGCAUGGCCCCUGCAAAAGCAUGACAUGCAAAUUCGUGAAGCGUUCCAUUAAAAA